GAUGAACGCUAGCGACAGGCUUAACACAUGCAAGUCGAGGGGUAACGAUAGUGCUUGCACUAGGCGACGACCGGCGCACGGGUGCGUAACGCGUAUACAACUUACCUCGUACAGGAGAAUAGCCCAGAGAAAUUUGGAUUAAUGCUCCAUAGAAUUAAUAGAUCGCAUGAUUUAUUACUUAAAACUCCGGUGGUACGAGAUGGGUAUGCGUCUUAUUAGCUAGUUGGUAAGGUAACGGCUUACCAAGGCGACGAUAAGUAGGGGUCCUGAGAGGGAGAUCCCCCACACUGGUACUGAGACACGGACCAGACUCCUACGGGAGGCAGCAGUGAGGAAUAUUGGGCAAUGGAGGCAACUCUGACCCAGCCAUGUCGCGUGCAGGAAGACGGUUCUAUGAAUUGUAAACUGCUUUUAUAGAGGAGGAAACCCACCGACGUGUUGGUGGCUGACGGUACUCUACGAAUAAAGACCGGCUAACUCCGUGCCAGCAGCCGCGGUAAUACGGAGGGUCUAAGCGUUAUCCGGAAUCAUUGGGUUUAAAGGGUCCGUAGGCGGGCAAAUAAGUCAGAGGUGAAAUCCCACAGCUUAACUGUGGAACUGCCUUUGAAACUGUUAGUCUUGAGUUACAGUGAGGUAGAUGGAAUGUGUAGUGUAGCGGUGAAAUGCAUAGAUAUUACACAGAACACCGAUUGCGAAGGCAGUCUACUAACUGUACACUGACGCUAAGGGACGAAAGCGUGGGGAGCGAACAGGAUUAGAUACCCUGGUAGUCCACGCCGUAAACGAUGGAUACUAGCUGUUGGAUUUUCGGAUUCAGUGGCCAAGCGAAAGUGAUAAGUAUCCCACCUGGGGAGUACGUUCGCAAGAAUGAAACUCAAAGGAAUUGACGG
rnacentral:rRNA from 1 species